UGUAAAUAUGAACUCAUACUGUGUAGACUAGAGUGUAGGCUGAAAACGGCAUCGAUAGCUUCUGUAUUUUUAUCAUUUGCGUAGUUUGAAGCAAAUGAAUAGGUAAUGGACACCGAUUAAUUGAUAGAGAUCAUACAUGAACUUCAUUCCGUUUUUAUCUGAACAGUUAUCAAUUGGAAAUGUCAAACCAACUCUGAUUAAGCAGAGAUCAGAACUUGCCAGAAGAAGGUUGAGAAAGUCUUGAUUAACAAUGGCGAAGUUAACAACAUAGCAACCUAUUGGAAAUUAGUUCACUCCGUUUCAUGUCAGAAGAAACUCGUGGGGAGUAAAGCAAGAAAAAAAAAAGGUGCAUUUUAUUCUAUUAAUUUGCUGGCAAGAGUUCUGGAAGAAAAAUGAUAAAGCAGUUAUAGCCACUCCUGGUCUUUGUGCUCCUCUUACUCUGCCUCUGGCACCAUGAUCCCCUGGUUACCCGAGUGCUACAUUGUCAUGGGGGCUGUGCCGAGGUGGACUCCAUGACAGAGGCGGUGGCCGGGGAGAGCUUCCUCAUGGACUGAAUCUCCUGUAAGAGGAGAGAGGAGGUCCAGGCCCAUACCACGGUUGACUGGCACUUCAGAGCCACAGGAGAGGAGGAGUACAUCCGCAUAAAGACUUCACUAUGACCACCCACAUCCCAACACCCUCCAUGAGGACUUUAAUGACCGGCUGGAGUGGCAGGGAACAAUGAGGAACCUUUAGACUCAAAGGACAAUUGUGAUGGAGUGCUUCUGGAGUGACUUGUUAUGGUAAACAUCAAAGGUGGAGAACUCUGUCACAAGCAAUUGAUGUUGAGUGAGAGGUUGUUUUCCUGACACCACACUCUGAGCGCCCUAACCUCCUCCCUGUAGGCUCUCGUCGUUGUUGGUAAUCAAGCCCACUACUGUUGUGUCGUCUGCAAACUUGAUGAUUGAGUUGGAGGCGUGCAUGGCCACGCAGUCAUGAGUGAACAGGGAGUACAGGAGGGGGCUAAGCACGCACCCUUGUGGGACCCCAGUGUUGAGGAUCAGCAAAGUAGAAAUGUUGUUUCCUACCUUCACCACCUGGGAGCGGACCAUCAGAAAGUUCAGGACCCAAUUGCACAGGGCGGGGUUGAGACCCAGGUCCUCAAGCUUAAUGAUGAGCUGUAGUCGAUGAACAGCAUUCUUACAUAGGUAUUCCUCUUGUCCAGAUGGGAUAGGGCAGUGUGCAGUGUGACGGUGAUUGCAUUGUCUGUGGACCUAUUGGGGCGGUAUGCAAAUUUAAGUGGGUCUAGGGUGGCAGGUAAGGUGGUGAUGAGAUCCUUGACUUCACUUCACUUCAUGAUGACAGAAGUGAGAGCUACAGGCAAUAUUCAUUUAGUUCAGUUAUCUUUGCCUUUUUGGGUACAGGAACAAUGGUGGCCAUCUUGAAGCAUUUGGGGACAGCAGACUGGGAUAUGGAGAGAUUGAAUAUGUCCGUAAACAAACAAGCCAGCUGGUCUGCGCAUUCUCUGAGGACGCGGCUAGAGAUGCCGCCUGGACCGUCAACCUUGCGAGGGUUAACACGUUUAAAUGUCUUAAUCACGUCGGCCAUGGAGAGGGAGGGCCCGCAGUCCUUGGCAGCGUGUCGCAUUGGUGACACUGUAUUAUCCUCAAAGCAGGCAAAGAAGGUGUUUAGUUUGUCUGGAAGCAAGACGUUGGUGUCUGUGACCCUGCCACAUAUGUCUUGUGUCUGAGCCUUUGAAAUUGCGAUUCCACUUUGUUCCUAUACCGACAUUUUGCUUGUUAAAUUGCCUAGGGAAUAAGUACACUGUUUAUAUUCGGCCAUAUUCCCAGUCAUCUUUCCAUGGUUAAAUGCAGUGGUUCGCGCCUUCAGUUUUGCGCGAAUGCCGCCAUCCAUUCAUGGUUUCUGGUUAGGGUCGGUUUAAUAGUCACAGUGGGUACAACAUGUUCAAAUCACUUACACGGAACCAUAACCGGCUGCGUGCGUGCUCCAUCGUGCGCUAUCGUGCAUGAAUUUAUUUUGUCCCCCUACACCAAACGCGAUCACGACACGCAGGUUAAAAUAUCAAAACAAACUCUGAACCAAUUACAUUAAUUUGGAGACAGGUCGAAAAGCAUUAAACAUGUAUUUAGCUAGUUAGCUUGCACUUGCUAGCUAAUUUGUCCUAUUUAGCUAGAUUGCUGUUGCUAGCUAAUUUGUCCUGGGAUAUAAACAUUGAGUUGGUAUUUUACCUGAACUGUACAAGGUCCUCUACUCCGACAAAUUAAUCCACACAUAAAACGGCCAACCGAAUCAUUUCUAGUCAUCUCUCCUCCUUCCAGGCUUUUUCAUCGUUGAACUUAUAUGGUGAUCGCAUCUAAACUUUCAUAUUAUUAAUUACCACGACUACCGGCAAAACAGUUUGUCUUUCAAUCACCCACGUGGGAAUAACCAAUGAGAAGAUGGCACGUGGAUACCUGCUUCUAUAAACCAAUGAGGAGAUGGGAGAGGCAGGACUUUCAGCGCAAUCUGCAUCAGAAAUAGGAAUGACUUCUAUUUUAGCCCUUGCCAUCGCAGACGCUCGUUGGCGCGUGAGCAGUGUGGGUGCAAUAAUUGAAUAACAUAAAUUUCGAAAUUUAUUUUGCGAUGCUCGCAACGUGUCCGGUCUGGUCAGCAUGUUAGGAUUGAGGUCAGGGCUUUGUGAUGGCCACUCCAAUACCUUGACUUUGUUGUCCUUAAGCCAUUUUGCCACAACUUUUGAAGUAUGCUUGGGGUCAUUGUCCAUUUGGAAGACCCAUUUGCGACCAAGCUUUAACUUCAUGACUGAUGUAUCCUGCUCCAUGUUGAAAGAAAUUGCAAGUGUUGACACGCACCCUUUUAUAUGGUGACCACUUGUGGUUAACACUAUGUGAAAUCAAUUAGCAAUAAUGACAAUAACAUUUUUAAAUAAACUGCCUUUUUGAUGAUCUUUUUUGAGUCAUGUAGUUAGAGUUGUGAAAUUUCAUCACAUACUUGUGAAAAUAGUACCAAAGCGAUGAAAAAAAACUAUUUGACAUGAUCAACCGAUACUUUCGCUUGCCUAAGCAUGUUUUAGGAAUGUAAUGACUGUUGUUUUGCAGGUGGGAGUGUUGAGUGUGAUCGUCUAGACCUGCCACUAUAUUUCUUCGUAGUGUUUGUAAGCAGAAUUUGAACUGUCAUAUAUGGAGCAAGGCAAAAUCUAAUCAAAUGUGCUCACUAACUCGGGACUUUUCCUUUUGUGUAUGAAGGAUGUUGUCACGCCCUGACCAUAGAGAGCUUUUUAUUCUCUAUGUUGGUUAGGUCUGGGUGUGACUAGGGUGGGUCAUCUAGGUAUUUAUAUGUCUAUGUUGGCCUGUUAUGGGUCCCAAUCAGAGGCAGCUGUUUAUCGUUGUCUCUGAUUGGGGUUCAUAUUUAGGCAGCCAUUUCCCCUUUGUGCCUUGUGGGAUCUUGUUUUUGUGUGGCUGCCUGUGAGCAGUCCAGUACGGUUCGUUUGUGCUUGUUUUGUUUGGUGAGGUGAGUUUCUAUUUAUUAAAAUAUGUGGAACUCUA